UUAGCGGUGAGAACCAAGCCCUCCAACCCUGGAGGCCCCAGGCCUGAGGAUCUGUGGCAGAGGCUCCGUCUCAGGUUGCCCCUACAGCACCUACACUGAGGCUCAGGAACGGAUCCUCCGCCUCCCAAGGUCCUCGGGAGCCCCUUCAGGGCCGGGCGCCCUGUUCCAUUUGUUGGUGCUGGCUCCUCACGGCAAACCUGUUGACGUGCACAGGUUGCGUGAGCAGCACAAACAGCUGCUUUCUGCUCCAGUUCAGAAUCCUGAGGACCCUGAGCUUGAUGUCAGCUGUGAGAACUGGAGGGAAUAUGGGAGAAGGACGAGGAAGAAACAGAAGUGCAGCAAGAGAGAAU